rnacentral:lncRNA from 1 species
UAAAAUAUGGUACAGUAAGCAUAAAUAAAAAUAUGAAGCAACACUAAAAAAUAGCAACAAAUGUCCUAUAUUUUUGCACCAAGCAUCAAAUUAAAUUAUGCUACAUAAAUAAUUAGCUACAAAACAUGAAAUAGCAGUAAAAAAAAAAUAAAAACAGCAACAUAUUCAAUGAAUAAAAACAUUAACUUGCAAGACAGCAAAACAACAAACAUGCAUAAAAAAACUGGCCCAACAAGGGUAGAAAAAUAGCAAGCAGCACUGCAAAAUCUGGCACAAGAAGCACUGCAAAACAACAUAAAAAAUAGAAACAAACAGGAUGAUUUUUUUUACUAAAACAGAGAAGAAAGAAAAAAAACCAAGCAUGUGUUUGUGUUUAUGGGGAGUACUCUUGAAAGUAACAUCAUUCUUACCAACCAUAAAUUUUUCAAAAACAUAAGCACAUCCUUCUUCAAGUUGAUCCUUAAAUUGGGAGAUCAAAUUUUUCCUAACAGUUGCAUGAAUUGAGCCACCCUAUAUAAAAAUAAAGAGAUUCAUAGAAACUUAGAUUAAUUGAAACUAAAUUAGCAAAGAAAGCAUAAGAAUGAAAUUGUAAAUCUGCCCUUUCAUCAAGAAAAAUCAUAUGCAUAAAAGAUGUUCACCUGAGUUAAUCAUCUUUGUGUCAAGAGAGAUGAUGGUUGAUUUGUUGGUGAGAGAUGGGUAGAUUGGUGGUAUUUAUAGAGAAACAUGAAUAUAGUAUGUUGGACACAUGGAAUGUUGCAUGGAAGAUACAGGGAGAAAUCUUCCAUAGAAGACACUUGGAAGAUAGCAUGAAAGGAAUUUACAGGUCUUCUGAUCAUAAAUAGAAUUUUUAGAUUUUUANN